rnacentral:rRNA from 1 species
UUCCAGACUCCUACGGGAGGCAGCAGUGGGGAAUAUUGCGCAAUGGGCGAAAGCCUGACGCAGCGACGCCGCGUGAGGGAUGAAGGUUCUCGGAUCGUAAACCUCUGUCAGAAGGGAAGAAAUUAUAUCAUGCUAAUCAGUGGUGUAUUGACGGUACCUUCAAAGGAAGCACCGGCUAACUCCGUGCCAGCAGCCGCGGUAAUACGGAGGAUGCGAGCGUUAUCCGGAUUUAUUGGGUUUAAAGGGUGCGUAGGCGGAAUGCCAAGUCAGCGGUAAAAUCGCGGGGCUCAACCUCGCUCCGCCGUUGAAACUGGCGUUCUUGAGUGGGCGAGAAGUAUGCGGAAUGCGUGGUGUAGCGGUGAAAUGCAUAGAUAUCACGCAGAACUCCGAUUGCGAAGGCAGCAUACCGGCGCCCAACUGACGCUGAAGCACGAAAGCGUGGGUAUCGAACAGGAUUAGAUACCCCAGUA